rnacentral:misc_RNA from 1 species
AAGUCGUAACAAGGUUUCCGUAGGUACGUUAUAACCAAAUUUCCUUUUCUUAUCCUUUAACCCCAUCCCUCUUCUGAAACUAUGCUAACUUUUUUAAAGGUGAACCUGCGGAAGGAUCAUUAAUGAGUUAGGGUCUUUUAGGCCCGAUCUCCAACCCUUUGUAUAACUACCAUGUUGCUUUGGCGGGCCCGUCUUUAACCGGACCGCCGGGGGUCUCUUGACCUCUGGCCAGUGCUCGUCAGUAGCCUACACAAAACUCUUUUAACCAUGUUAAAUCUGAAACUAGUUAAAUAAACUAAA